rnacentral:rRNA from 1 species
UACGGAGGGUGCAAGCGUUAUCCGGAUUCACUGGGUUUAAAGGGAGCGUAGGUGGGUUGGUAAGUCAGAGGUGAAAUCUCCGAGCUUAACUCGGAAACUGCCUUUGAUACUAUCAGUCUUGAAUAUUGUUGAGGUUAGCGGAAUAUGUCAUGUAGCGGUGAAAUGCAUAGAUAUGACAUAGAACACCAAUUGCGAAGGCAGCUGGCUAAACAUAUAUUGACACUGAUGCUCGAAAGCGUGGGGAUCAAACAGG